rnacentral:rRNA from 1 species
CUACGUGCCAGCAGCCGCGGUAAUACGGAGGGUGCGAGCGUUAAUCGGAAUAACUGGGCGUAAAGGGCACGCAGGCGGCUAUUUAAGUGAGGUGUGAAAUCCCCGGGCUUAACCUGGGAAUUGCAUUUCAGACUGGGUAGCUAGAGUACUUUAGGGAGGGGUAGAAUUCCACGUGUAGCGGUGAAAUGCGUAGAGAUGUGGAGGAAUACCGAAGGCGAAGGCAGCCCCUUGGGAAUGUACUGACGCUCAUGUGCGAAAGCGUGGGGAGCAAACAGGAUUAGAUACCCUGGUAGUCCACGCUGUAAACGCUGUCGAUUUGGGGAUUGGGCUUUAAGCUUGGUGCCCGUAGCUAACGUGAUAAAUCGACCGCCUGGGGAGUACGGCCGCAAGGUUAAAACUCAAAUGAAUUGACGGGGGCCCGCACAAGCGGUGGAGCAUGUGGUUUAAUUCGAUGCAACGCGAAGAACCUUACCUACUCUUGACAUCCAGAGAACAUUC